GGGGAAUAUUGCGCAAUGGGGGGAACCCUGACGCAGCCAUGCCGCGUGAAUGAAGAAGGCCUUCGGGUUGUAAAGUUCUUUCGGUAUUGAGGAAGGUUGAUGUGUUAAUAGCACAUCAAAUUGACGUUAAAUACAGAAGAAGCACCGGCUAACUCCGUGCCAGCAGCCGCGGUAAUACGGAGGGUGCGAGCGUUAAUCGGAAUAACUGGGCGUAAAGGGCACGCAGGCGGUUAUUUAAGUGAGGUGUGAAAGCCCCGGGCUUAACCUGGGAAUUGCAUUUCAGACUGGGUAACUAGAGUACUUUAGGGAGGGGUAGAAUUCCACGUGUAGCGGUGAAAUGCGUAGAGAUGUGGAGGAAUACCGAAGGCGAAGGCAGCCCCUUGGGAAUGUACUGACGCUCAUGUGCGAAAGCGUGGGGAGCAAACAGGAUUAGAUACCCUGGUAGUCCACGCUGUAAACGAUGUCGAUUUGGGGGUUGAGCUUUAAGCUUGGCGCCCGUAGCUAACGUGAUAAAUCGACCGCCUGGGGAGUACGGCCGCAAGGUUA
rnacentral:rRNA from 1 species